rnacentral:rRNA from 1 species
CGGCGAACGGGUGAGUAACACGUAGGCAACCUACCUUGUAGACGGGGAUAACCCCGGGAAACCGGAGCUAAUACUCGAUGUUAUUGCGAUGCAGCAUCGCAAUGCAAUAAAAAGCCGAAAGGUGCUACAAGAUGGGCCUGCGUCCCAUUAGAUAGUUGGCGGGGUAAUGGCCCACCAAGUCGACGAUGGGUAGCUGGUCUGAGAGGACGAUCAGCCACACUGGAACUGAGACACGGUCCAGACUUCUACGGAAGGCAGCAGUGAGGAGUAUUGCUCAAUGGGCGAAAGCCUGAAGCAGCGACGCCGCGUGAGGGAUGAAAUCCGUUAGGAUGUAAACCUCUUUUGCAGGGGAAGAAUGUUCCGAAUUUAUUCGGAAUUGACGGUACUCUGCGAAUAAGCACCGGCAAACUACGUGCCAGCAGCCGCGGUAAUACGUAGGGUGCGAGCGUUGUCCGGAAUUACUGGGUGUAAAGGGUCCGUAGGCGGAUCUGUAAGUCGAUGGUGAAAUCUUCGGGCUCAACCCGGAGUCUGCUGUCGAUACUAUAGAUCUUGAGUUCGAGAGAGGAUAAUGGAAUUCAUGGUGUAGCGGUGAAAUGCGUAGAGAUCAUGAAGAACACCGGUAGCGAAGGCGGUUAUCUGGCUCGAAACUGACGCUGAGGGACGAAAGCGUGGGUAGCAAACAGGAUUAGAUACCCUGGUAGUCCACGCCUUAAACGAUGGAUGUUCGGUGUCGGCCCGUAAGGUCGGUGCCUGAGCUAACGCGUUAAACAUCCCACCUGGGGAGUACGAUCGCAAGGUUGAAACUCAAAGGAAUUGACGGGGCUCGCACAAGCAGUGAGCAUGUGGUUCAAUUCG